rnacentral:rRNA from 2 species
CUGGUGAGUAACACGUGGGAAACCUGCCCAGAAGCGGGGGAUAACACCUGGAAACAGAUGCUAAUACCGCAUAACAACUUGGACCGCAUGGUCCGAGUUUGAAAGAUGGCUUCGGCUAUCACUUUUGGAUGGUCCCGCGGCGUAUUAGCUAGAUGGUGGGGUAACGGCUCACCAUGGCAAUGAUACGUAGCCGACCUGAGAGGGUAAUCGGCCACAUUGGGACUGAGACACGGCCCAAACUCCUACGGGAGGCAGCAGUAGGGAAUCUUCCACAAUGGACGAAAGUCUGAUGGAGCAACGCCGCGUGAGUGAAGAAGGGUUUCGGCUCGUAAAACUCUGUUGUUAAAGAAGAACAUAUCUGAGAGUAACUGUUCAGGUAUUGACGGUAUUUAACCAGAAAGCCACGGCUAACUACGUGCCAGCAGCCGCGGUAAUACGUAGGUGGCAAGCGUUGUCCGGAUUUAUUGGGCGUAAAGCGAGCGCAGGCGGUUUUUUAAGUCUGAUGUGAAAGCCUUCGGCUCAACCGAAGAAGUGCAUCGGAAACUGGGAAACUUGAGUGCAGAA